rnacentral:rRNA from 1 species
GAUGAACGCUGGCGGCGUGCCUAAUACAUGCAAGUCGAGCGAACAGAUGAGGAGCUUGCUCCUCUGACGUUAGCGGCGGACGGGUGAGUAACACGUGGAUAACCUACCUAUAAGACUGGGAUAACUUCGGGAAACCGGAGCUAAUACCGGAUAAUAUAUUGAACCGCAUGGUUCAAUAGUGAAAGACGGUUUUGCUGUCACUUAUAGAUGGAUCCGCGCCGCAUUAGCUAGUUGGUAAGGUAACGGCUUACCAAGGCAACGAGGCGUAGCCGACCUGAGAGGGUGGUCGGCCACACUGGAACUGAGUCACGGUCCAGACUCCUACGGGAGGCAGCAGUAGGGAAUCUUCCGCAAUGGGCGAAAGCCUGACGGAGCAACGCCGCGUGAGUGAUGAAGGUCUUCGGAUCGUAAAACUCUGUUAUUAGGGAAGAACAAAUGUGGAAGUAACUAUGCACGUCUUGACGGUACCUAAUCAGAAAGCCACGGCUAACUACGUG